rnacentral:rRNA from 1 species
AUGAACGCUAGCUACAGGCUUAACACAUGCAAGUCGAGGGGCAUCAGGAAGAAAGCUUGCUUUCUUUGCUGGCGACCGGCGCACGGGUGAGUAACACGUAUCCAACCUGCCCUUUACUCGGGGAUAGCCUUUCGAAAGAAAGAUUAAUACCCGAUAGCAUAAUGAUUCCGCAUGGUUUCAUUAUUAAAGGAUUCCGGUAAAGGAUGGGGAUGCGUUCCAUUAGGUUGUUGGUGAGGUAACGGCCCACCAAGCCUUCGAUGGAUAGGGGUUCUGAGAGGAAGGUCCCCCACAUUGGAACUGAGACACGGUCCAAACUCCUACGGGAGGCAGCAGUGAGGAAUAUUGGUCAAUGGGCGCUAGCCUGAACCAGCCAAGUAGCGUGAAGGAUGAAGGCUCUAUGGGUCGUAAACUUCUUUUAUAUAAGAAUAAAGUGCAGUAUGUAUACUGUUUUGUAUGUAUUAUAUGAAUAAGGAUCGGCUAACUCCGUGCCAGCAGCCGCGGUAAUACGGAGGAUCCGAGCGUUAUCCGGAUUUAUUGGGUUUAAAGGGAGCGUAGGUGGACUGGUAAGUCAGUUGUGAAAGUUUGCGGCUCAACCGUAAAAUUGCAGUUGAUACUGUCAGUCUUGAGUACAGUAGAGGUGGGCGGAAUUCGUGGUGUAGCGGUGAAAUGCUUAGAUAUCACGAAGAACUCCGAUUGCGAAGGCAGCUCACUGGACUGCAACUGACACUGAUGCUCGAAAGUGUGGGUAUCAAACAGGAUUAGAUACCCUGGUAGUCCACACAGUAAACGAUGAAUACUCGCUGUUUGCGAUAUACAGUAAGCGGCCAAGCGAAAGCAUUAAGUAUUCCACCUGGGGAGUACGCCGGCAACGGUGAAACUCAAAGGAAUUGACGGGGGCCCGCACAAGCGGAGGAACAUGUGGUUUAAUUCGAUGAUACGCGAGGAACCUUACCCGGGCUUAAAUUGCAGUGGAAUGAUGUGGAAACAUGUCAGUGAGCAAUCACCGCUGUGAAGGUGCUGCAUGGUUGUCGUCAGCUCGUGCCGUGAGGUGUCGGCUUAAGUGCCAUAACGAGCGCAACCCUUAUCUUUAGUUACUAACAGGUUAUGCUGAGGACUCUAGAGAGACUGCCGUCGUAAGAUGUGAGGAAGGUGGGGAUGACGUCAAAUCAGCACGGCCCUUACGUCCGGGGCUACACACGUGUUACAAUGGGGGGGUACAGAAGGCAGCUAGCGGGUGACCGUAUGCUAAUCCCAAAAUCCUCUCUCAGUUCGGAUCGAAGUCUGCAACCCGACUUCGUGAAGCUGGAUUCGCUAGUAAUCGCGCAUCAGCCACGGCGCGGUGAAUACGUUCCCGGGCCUUGUACACACCGCCCGUCAAGCCAUGGGAGCCGGGGGUACCUGAAGUACGUAACCGCAAGGAUCGUCCUAGGGUAAAACUGGUGACUGGGG